GACAGAGGGUGCAAACGUUGCUCGGGAAUUCAGUACGUGGGCGUAAAGGGCGGUGUAGGCGGGUAGAAUAAGUCGGGCGUACGAAAUCCCUAGGCUCAACCUAGGAACUGCACUCGGAAACUGUUUAUCUUGAGUGCCGGAGAGGAAAGCGGAAUUCCUGGAUGUAGAGGUGAAAUUCGUAGAUAUCAGGAGGAACACCAGUGG
rnacentral:rRNA from 1 species